rnacentral:misc_RNA from 1 species
ACAUACCUCAAGCUCCAAAGCAACUUGCUUAUUUUCAGAAGCAUUCAAAUUCUUUCUUUCUUUCUUUCAUGGCACCCAAUGGAGAAACCCUCGUUGACUCAUAUUCCAAGAGGGACAAUGUUCACAAACCUAGUCGACUUUCCAUGGAAGGACUUCAAAGAACAUUGUCAGAUAUCUCAUUGGAACUGAGCAAAGAAACCUCUAGUAGUGAUCCAAAGCUCCCACCAAUAUCAGAGGUACAAGACUCAAAGUGUGAGUGCUGUGGCAUGUCUGAGGAGUGCACCAACGAGUAUAUAAAACGGGUGCGUGAUAAGUUCUUGGGGAAGUUCGUUUGUGGGUUAUGUGCAGAAGCUGUCCAGCAGGAGAUGGAGAAAAAUGGAGGCAAAAGAGAAGAAGCCUUAAAUGAGCACAUGAAUGCUUGUGUAAAGUUUAAUAGGCUUUUUAGGGUAAAUCCUAUCUUUUACCAAGCUGAGGCAAUGCGAGAGAUCUUAAAGAAGAGCUCAAGUAUUAAGAAUAGAGCCAAGUCCAUAAGCCCUAGAGAUAGGGGUGGUCAAAGGAAGGGUGGUAUUGCAAGGAGUUCCAGUUGUAUUCCUGCAAUAUAUAAAAAUGGAGAUCAACCACUAGGAAGUGAUUAAUUUGUUGUUCUUUCGUUUGUGUUUACCUUUAGGGAUCAAAUAAAAUCACAUUUUCUACGAAACAUGCAUGAUGUAGGAUUUUUUUUUAUAGGGGUUUUGGGAUGAUGGGAUCUAGAACUUGACACCUGUUAGGUAGGUGAGUGACUUUAGCUAUUAAAUCAAACCAGACUAGGUUGCAUGAUGUAAGAUCUAAUAGGCUCAUAUCCAUAUGUUCCAUACAACAUGAUUCUAGACAAAAAUUGUUCAUAUUUUUAUUCAUCUCAGUGG